GGACCAUUUUUUGUUCUCCACAUUCUCUGAAAAACACAAGCUUUUUUCCUUCUGCCUCUACAGGCUGCAGCUUCAACGCCCGGGCUCUCCAAUCAGUCUCCAUUGCAUGAAAGGAUUUCAGUAGCCAUGAAUUGGAUACAACGAAAGAUCUACCUUUACAAUGUCACGUUUGGGCUUUACAUGUUGGAUUGGUGGGAGCGAAUCCUCUUCAAUACAUUGGUGGUUGUGUUGAUGUGGUUCAUGUUUUACAAUGGAUCACAAUACGUAAAUGAUUUGUGCAAGAGGCAUGUAUGGCAAGGCAAGCAAUGAUGAAGACCAUGAGCCAAGUUACAUUAUUAUCAAUCUUGUAAAGUGACAUUACAUGCUGUAUUCUUUUGUGCUUUUAGAUAAGUUUCUCUGUUUGUUCAAUUUAUAGAACAAAGCUUUUUGUAUUUUGAGGUGUAACUUGUUCACAUUAACUUAUUCGAAACUGACAUUUUGUAUUUGAAUGAAAAGCUUUUUCUUUUAUUGUUA